rnacentral:rRNA from 1 species
GGUAGCAUGAAGGCGAGCUCAUGAUUAGUAGCUGGCUGCGAUGACGGUAGCGGCUUACGGGUGAGUAACACGUGGGCAACCUGCCUGUAAGACUGGGAUAACUUCGGGAAACCGAAGCUAAUACCGGAUAGGAUCUUCUCCUUCAUGGGAGAUGAUUGAAAGAUGGUUUCGGCUAUCACUUACAGAUGGGCCCGCGGUGCAUUAGCUAGUUGGUGAGGUAACGGCUCACCAAGGCAACGAUGCAUAGCCGACCUGAGAGGGUGAUCGGCCACACUGGGACUGAGACACGGCCCAGACUCCUACGGGAGGCAGCAGUAGGGAAUCUUCCGCAAUGGACGAAAGUCUGACGGAGCAACGCCGCGUGAGUGAUGAAGGCUUUCGGGUCGUAAAACUCUGUUGUUAGGGAAGAACAAGUACGAGAGUAACUGCUCGUACCUUGACGGUACCUAACCAGAAAGCCACGGCUAACUACGUGCCAGCAGCCGCGGUAAUACGUAGGUGGCAAGCGUUAUCCGGAAUUAUUGGGCGUAAAGCGCGCGCAGGCGGUUUCUUAAGUCUGAUGUGAAAGCCCACGGCUCAACCGUGGAGGGUCAUUGGAAACUGGGGAACUUGAGUGCAGAAGAGAAAAGCGGAAUUCCACGUGUAGCGGUGAAAUGCGUAGAGAUGUG